UCGGGAAUUUUGGGCAAUGGGCGCAAGCCUGACCCAGCAACGCCGCGUGAAGGAUGAAAUCCCUCGGGAUGUAAACUUCGCAAGAACGGGAAGAAUAAGUGGAAGUUAAUACCUUCCAUGAUGACGGUACCGUUUGUAAGCUCCGGCUAACUCCGUGCCAGCAGCCGCGGUAAUACGGGGGGAGCAAGCGUUGUUCGGAUUUACUGGGCGUAAAGGGCGCGUAGGCGGCCUGUGCAAGUCAGUUGUGAAAUCUCCGAGCUUAACUCGGAACGGUCAACUGAUACUGCUCGGCUAGAGUGCGGAAGGGGCAACUGGAAUUCUUGGUGUAGCGGUGAAAUGCGUAGAUAUCAAGAGGAACACCUGCGGCGAAGGCGGGUUGCUGGGCCGACACUGACGCUGAUGCGCGAAAGCUAGGGGAGCGAACGG
rnacentral:rRNA from 1 species